GCUUGCGAGAUGCUUUUUACCAAGCAAAUCAUGUUUACAGAAUGAAAUUCUGCUAAUGGCAUCCCUGCACCAAUGCAGUAAAGGUUAAAAGCAUCUCGCAAGCCCUUGAACAUUAGGCUAUGCACACGAAUUCAAGCCUUCGCAACACAUCGGAGCGAAAACAGAUUAAUGGCAAAUAAAUAUCGACAAGAGCAAAAUAGCAAAUCAUUUGAGAUAACUCAAAAG
rnacentral:misc_RNA from 1 species